CUCUUUGGUUAUCUGGCUGUAUGAGUGAUCUGUGACAUCAUAAAGCUAGGUUACCAAAGCU
rfam:Toxocara canis scaffold6, whole genome shotgun sequence.